CUGCUGCCUCCCGUAGGAGUCUGGGCCGUAUCUCAGUCCCAAUGUGGCCGGUCAACCUCUCAGUCCGGCUACUGAUCGUCGCCUAGGUGGGCCGUUACCCCACCUACUAGCUAAUCAGACGCGAGGCCAUCUUCCAGCGAUAAAUCUUUGACAUUCAAACCAUGCGAUUCAAAUGUGUCAUGCGGUAUUAGCAGUCGUUUCCAACUGUUGUCCCCCUCUGGAAGGCAGGUUCCUCACGCGUUACUCA
rnacentral:rRNA from 1 species